AUGACCAGGGCAUCGCCGUCCACGCAGCAGCCCUCCGCGCGGCGGCCGACCGUCGUGCUGCUGCUGUGGCUGGCCCUCGCCUUCUGCCUCGCCGUCCUUUUCAUCCAGUCCUCCUUCACCUCCCCGAGUGCGCCCCACGCCCGAACCCUAGAUUCUCCGGACCAGCCCUCUGCUGAGGCGAGCAGGCUGGAUCUCGACUCCGACCAGGUCCGGGAGCUCUCGGGGUUCCAGUCCCGCGUCCAGCAAUGCGUGGCAAGCAGGGGACUUGGCCUCACAGCAGAUAUUGUUGAUCAUUGCAAGCUAGUCCUUAAGUUUCCUGAAGGAACCAACAGCACUUGGUAUAAUGCUCAGUUCAAGUUUUUUGAGAAACUACAAUACGAAUAUGAUGUCUGUGAGACUAUCCUUUUGUGGGAACAGUACCGCAACAUGACGACUGUCUUGACAAGGGAGUACUUAGAUGUGCGACCUGAUGGAUGGCUGGAUUAUGCACCUAAAAGAAUAGCACAGCUUGGUGCCAAGAAAUGCUACAAUCGUACUCUGUGUGAAGAGCUUCUUAGUAUUUUGCUGCCUGCUAGACCCCCUUUCCAUCCACGCCAGUUUGCGACAUGCGCAGUCGUUGGCAACUCAGGAGAUCUCUUAAAAACAGAGUUUGGACAAGAAAUUGACGCUCAUGAUGCUGUCUUCCGGGACAAUGAGGCACCUGUCAAUAAGAAAUAUGCAAAAUAUGUUGGGUUGAAAAGGGACUUCCGACUGGUUGUCAGGGGUGCUGCUCGAAAUAUGGCACCAAUACUGAAGGGUUCAUCUGAUGAGGCGCUUAUUAUAAAAAGUCUGACACAUAAAGAAAUAAAUGCAGUGAUAAAGGAACUUCCGAAUCCCGUUUACCUUUUUCAAGGUAUAGUCCUAAGAAGAGGUGCUAAAGGAACUGGUAUGAAGUCCGUAGAAUUGGCCCUUUCCAUGUGUGAUAUUGUCGACAUUUAUGGUUUUACGGUUGAUCCUGGCUACACAGAAUGGACGAGAUACUUCUCAGCCCCUAGGAAAGGACACAACCCAUUGCAAGGCCGAGCUUAUUACCAACUUCUGGAGUGCCUCGGAAUAAUUCGGAUUCAUUCCCCAAUGAGAGCACAACGGGUGGAAGAUUGGUCGGAUGUGCCAAGCAGAGAAGCGAUCAGAAGAGCGCAUGCUGCAGCUUUUCGUUUGAAAAGGCGUGAGACGGGUCAAGCAGAUGAACCGGGGCCAUUUAGCAAUUGCAAGGUAUGGGGAACAGUUGACCCAGACUACGGGCCGGUAUCAGGAACUUCAGAUAUGAGCGAAACGCGGAGGAAUUCAAACUACAGCAGGUGGGAGUUGCUCCCACUUGAGAGCCUGAGAAGCGAGGCUCAGGAACACCAUGCCCAAAUGGGUGGCGUAUCUCUAUACAAGAUGGACGGAAACAAGUUAGAUGACCUUGUUUGUGUGAGGCACAACCGUUCAUCUGGCUAA
rnacentral:rRNA from 1 species